rnacentral:rRNA from 1 species
UACGUAGGGCGCAAGCGUUGUCCGGAAUUAUUGGGCGUAAAGAGCUCGUAGGCGGUCUGUUACGUCCGCUGUGAAAACCCAGGGCUUAACCCUGGGCUUGCAGUGGAUACGGGUAGACUAGAGGCAGGUAGGGGAGAAUGGAAUUCCCGGUGUAGCGGUGAAAUGCGCAGAUAUCGGGAGGAACACCGGUGGCGAAGGCGGCUCUCUGGAACGCAACUGACGCUGAGACGCGAAAGCGUGGGGAGCAAACAGGG